rnacentral:rRNA from 1 species
UUAACAAAAACAUGUCCUUUUGUUUAUGAUUUUAGGUCUGAUCUGCUCUAUGAUAAAUUUAAAUGGCCGCGGUAUUUUGACUGUGCGAAGGUAGCAUAAUAAUUAGUUCUUUUAUUGGGGGCUGGUAUGAAUGGUUGGACGAGAAAAGUUCUGUCUCUAUAUAAUUUUUAAUUAAUUUUAUUUUUUAGUUAAAAAGCUUAGAUUUUUUUAAAAGACGAUAAGACCCUAUAGAGUUUUAUAAUGGAUAUAUAAAUUAUAUUUUGGUUUAGGUUUUAUUUUUAUUUAAUUAUUAUUAUACUGGGGUGGUAAAGAAACUGAUAUAACUUUCUUUUUAUUUUUACAUUGAUUAGUGAUUUAUUGAUCUAUUUUUUAUAAUUGAAAGAUAAAAUUACCUUAGGGAUAACAGCGUAAUUUCUUUUGAGAGUUCUAAUCGAAAAGGAUGAUUGCGACCUCGAUGUUGGAUUAAAAUUAACUUUUGGUGCAGAAGCUAAAGUUGUUAAGUCUGUUCGACUUUUAAAAUUUUACAUGAUCUGAGUUCAGACCGG